rnacentral:rRNA from 1 species
UGCCAGCAGCCGCGGUAAUACGGAGGGGGCAAGCGUUGUUCGGAAUUACUGGGCGUAAAGGGUGCGCAGGCGGCGUCGCCAGUCAGGUGUGAAAUCCCCGGGCUCAACCCGGGAACUGCACUUGAUACUGCGAUGCUAGAGUUCGGAAGAGGGUAGUGGAAUUCCCAGUGUAGAGGUGAAAUUCGUAGAUAUCAGGAGGAACACCGAUGGCGAAGGCAGCUUUCUGGACAGAUACUGACGCUGAGGCGCGAAGGCGUGGGUAGCGAACGGGAUUAGAUA